rnacentral:tRNA from 2 species
GGCACUGUGGCUCAGUGGUAGAGCGCUUGCCUAGCAUGUAUGAGGCACUGGGUUCAAUUCUCAGCACCA